ACGCUGGCGGGUGCUUAACACAUGCAAGUCGAACGGACGACGAGGGAGCUUGCUCCCUUGAAGUUAGUGGCGAACGGGUGAGUAACGCGUAAUCAACUUGCCCUUCAGAGGGGGAUAACAACGGGAAACCGUUGCUAAUACCGCGUACGAUUCAUAAACGGCAUCGUUUAUGAAUGAAAGGUGGCCUCUAUAUAUAAGCUAUCGCUGAAGGAGGGGAUUGCGUCUGAUUAGCUAGUUGGAGGGGUAACGGCCCACCAAGGCAAUGAUCAGUAGCCGGUCUGAGAGGAUGAACGGCCACAUUGGGACUGAGACACGGCCCAAACUCCUACGGGAGGCAGCAGUGGGGAAUCUUCCGCAAUGGACGAAAGUCUGACGGAGCAACGCCGCGUGAGUGAUGAAGGUCUUCGGAUUGUAAAGCUCUGUUAAUCGGGACGAAAGAGUUCUGUGUAAAUAAUGCAGAAAAGUGACGGUACCGGAAUAGAAAGCCACGGCUAACUACGUGCCAGCAGCCGCGGUAAUACGUAGGUGGCAAGCGUUGUCCGGAAUUAUUGGGCGUAAAGCGCGCGCAGGCGGCCUAUCCAGUCUGUCUUAAAAGUUCGGGGCUCAACCCCGUGAUGGGAUGGAAACUAGUAGGCUAGAGUAUCGGAGAGGAAAGCGGAAUUCCUAGUGUAGCGGUGAAAUGCGUGGAUAUUAGGAAGAACACCAGUGGCGAAGGCGGCUUUCUGGACGAAAACUGACGCUGAGGCGCGAAAGCCAGGGGAGCGAACGGGAUUAGAUACCCCGGUAGUCCUGGCCGUAAACGAUGGGUACUAGGUGUAGGAGGUAUCGACCCCUUCUGUGCCGGAGUUAACGCAAU
rnacentral:rRNA from 1 species